AUCCUAACCAAUGGCUACUAGUCUACAGCUGGCUCUAAAACUUCACUUCGUCCUAAGGGAAACAUGCCGCCUGAGUGAAAUUACUGAAUGUAUUCCACAAAUUUGGCUGAGUGGAAGGAAGGAAAAAGACUGUUGCCGAGGAACACCUUGAGACCACCUAUUGCCAAAGUGCUGGAUGAGGCCCAUCCUUGGCCAAAGGGAAGCCUUUUGGCAGAAUCUGAGGAAUCAGGUCCCGUAUACCACGGUUCCUGAGCCUGGCUCUCCCUCUUCUUUCAUUCCUGUUACCCUAGAAGUGUCAACUUUUCAUUUCAGAUCAUUGGUUGAACUUGUCCCCAUAUCAACAAUCUGUAUGGAACCAGCAAGCUCUGAGAGGACUAGCACACAACAGACAGCACAGCAGGGGCAUCUCUUCUCGCUCUGCUUCCACGAAGUGUCACCUCCCUGAGCCACAUGAGCCAUCCACUUGUUCUACGUCUCUCAUCUUCCAUUGGUAAACCCACGGGGAUCACCGUUUAGCUGCGGUAAUACAUAGUUUCUGAACGCUGGAACCUAAAGGAAAUUAUGUUGAUGCCAUCAAAACAUUUACCUCACAGUGGUGGGGUCAUGGUGUGAUAAACUUACCUACCAAAUGAAGAAACGCUCGACAGUUUAAAAACCGGUGUUUCUAUAAUCGCAUGAGGAAAACCUGGAUACAACAGCUGUCACUCUAGGAACCACAAGAGAUGAGUAAGCUGAUCCCCCUGACUAGGCAUGGAAUCCUAUCCCGCCCAUCACACAAGCAUCUAUGGGCAUUGCUGUGAAGAAUGACUUCUCAUGAAGAGAAAGAACAUCCCUCAGUCAAGGGUAACACUCAUUCACACCUCCAAAGAAGCUAUCAAGACUCCAUCCUGCCAAAAUCAAAACCAUCUUACCAGCAUAUGGAAUAAAUAAAUCACGUAUUUUAACCACGCUUCUUCUU